AGAGCGAACGCUGGCGGCAGGCCUAAUACAUGCAAGUCGAACGAACCCUUCGGGGUUAGUGGCGGACGGGUGAGUAACACGUGGGAACGUGCCCUUUGGUUCGGAACAACUCAGGGAAACUUGAGCUAAUACCGGAUAAGCCCUUCGGGGGAAAGAUUAUCGCCAUUGGAGCGGCCCGCGUCUGAUUAGCUAGUUGGUGAGGUAAAGGCUCACCAAGGCUUCGAUCAGUAGCUGGUCUGAGAGGAUGAUCAGCCACACUGGGACUGAGACACGGCCCAGACUCCUACGGGAGGCAGCAGUAGGGAAUCUUGCGCAAUGGGCGAAAGCCUGACGCAGCCAUGCCGCGUGAAUGAUGAAAGGUCUUAGGAUUGUAAAAUUCUUUCAGUCGGGGAACGAUAAAUGACGGUACCCGCAAGAAGAAGCCCCGGCUAACUUCGUGCCAGCAGCCGC
rnacentral:rRNA from 1 species